rnacentral:tRNA from 1 species
GACAGUUUGGCCGAGUGGUCUAAGGCGCCAGAUUUAGGCUCUGGUCCGAAAGUGCUUGGGUUCAAAUCCCACAGCUGUCA